GCACACUUAGCUCAGUGGUAGAGCGGAGGAUUGCAGCUACUGCUAAAUCUCCUCAGGUCAGCUGUUCGAUCCAGUUAGGGUGCU
rnacentral:tRNA from 1 species